AACGAACGCUGGCGGCAUGCCUAACACAUGCAAGUCGAACGAAGGCUUCGGCCUUAGUGGCGCACGGGUGCGUAACGCGUGGGAAUCUGCCCUUUGGUUCGGAAUAACAGCUGGAAACGGCUGCUAAUACCGGAUGAUGACGAAAGUCCAAAGAUUUAUCGCCAGAGGAUGAGCCCGCGUUGGAUUAGGUAGUUGGGGGGGUAAAGGCCUACCAAGCCGACGAUCCAUAGCUGGUCUGAGAGGAUGAUCAGCCACACUGGGACUGAGACACGGCCCAGACUCCUACGGGAGGCAGCAGUGGGGAAUAUUGGACAAUGGGCGCAAGCCUGAUCCAGCAAUGCCGCGUGAGUGAUGAAGGCCCUAGGGUUGUAAAGCUCUUUUACCCGGGAAGAUAAUGACUGUACCGGGAGAAUAAGCCCCGGCUAACUCCGUG
rnacentral:rRNA from 1 species